CCCCUAUGCCUAGCCCUAAAUCCUGAUGCUUGCCCCACCAAAGCAUCCGCCUGAGAACUACGAGCACAAACGCUUAAAACUCUAAGGACUUGGCGGUGUCCUAAACCCUCCUAGAGGAGCCUGUUCUAUAAUCGAUAACCCACGAUCCACCUAACCUCCCCUUGCUAAAGCAGCCUACAUACCGCCGUCGCCAGCUUACCUCCUAUGAGAGCACUAGAGUGAGCAAAAUAGCCCCCACCACUAACAAGACAGGUCAAGGUAUAGCCAAUGGGAAGGAAGAAAUGGGCUACAUUUUCUAACAUAGAAAACCAUUACGAAAGGGGACAUGAAAUUGCCCCCCGAAGGCGGAUUUAGCAGUAAAGUGAGAUAAUAAAGCCCACUUUAAGUCGGCCCUAGGACACGU
rnacentral:rRNA from 1 species